CUAGAUUCAAAGCAUUCGACUCAACGAACUUUCUAAAAAUGGCUUCAGUAGUAAAAACUCUGUCCCUUUGCUUGUGCCUCUUUGCAUUUGUUACACUGGAAAUCAAAGCCCAAACCAUCGAUCGCACUUCGGAGUUUCAAGCCCUCUGUGAGAGAUA